rnacentral:rRNA from 1 species
AGUAACGCGUGGGCAACCUGCCUCGUACAGGGGGAUAACAGUUAGAAAUGACUGCUAAAACCGCAUAAGCGCACAGCAGCGCAUGCUGCAGUGUGAAAAACUCCGGCGGUACGGGAUGGGCCCGCGUCUGAUUAGCUUGUUGGCGGGGUAGAAGCCCACCAAGGCGACGAUCAGUAGCCGGCCUGAGAGGGUGAACGGCCACAUUGGGACUGAGACACGGCCCAAACUCCUACGGAAGGCAGCAG